AUACUUACCUGGCAUGAUCAGAGAGGUGGUAUUCCCAGGGUGAGGCUUAUCCGUUGCAUUCUAGAUGUGUUGACCCCUGCAAGAUCCCCAAAUGCAGGAAGCUCAACUGCUGCAUAAUUUGUGGUAGUGGAGGACUGAAUGAUGUUUUCCUUGA
rnacentral:snRNA from 1 species